ACGCUCGACACCUACGGAGGCAGCAGUGGGGAAUAUUGCACAAUGGGGGAAACCCUGAUGCAGCGACGCCGCGUGAGCGAAGAAGUAUUUCGGUAUGUAAAGCUCUAUCAGCAGGGAAGAAACUGACGGUACCUGACUAAGAAGCACCGGCUAAAUACGUGCCAANAGCCGCGGUAAUCUGAGCGGGCUGGCAAGGC
rnacentral:rRNA from 1 species